AGAGAAGAAACAUUAGUUGAAGAAGCAGUCCUUUUGCAUUCGCAACGCGUUGGUAGGUGGAUAAUGAGUCUCACAGACCCUAAACAGAGUCUCAGUGGCUAGGAUUGGUGCAAAACUAAGCACCUGACAUUCUCUGACGGGGCUGGGAGACUCAGAGGAGGGAUGCUGCUUCGUAUGUCACAGAAAUUAUGAAUGGGCAGCAAAGAGUGCUUCAAGAAAGGCAAGAAUUCACCAGCAGAAUGAGGAGUGCAAACCUGUGAGCUUCAUUGCUUCCUCUUGGUGGAGAGACACAGAGCAAAAAAAAGAUAUCAUUGUUCCAGAGGGUAGAAAGUUGUGUGAAUAUUCCAAAGCACCGUCAAUCUCUGAAGUGACUUUUCAGCUAUGGACCCAAAGUGCCAAUCUUCCUCUCCUCAGAAACAGACUGUGAAAAACAGGUCCAAAUCCACUGAGGAGAUCCAACAAGCUAAAAAGGCCUUUCACACUCCCCAGAAAUCCCUGCCAGGGAAGACAGAACUAGAGAAACUUAAGGAGGCCUCUGAUGUCUCAGAGACAACAUCCUCACCUGAAGUGUUAAAAUGAGUGGGAGAUCAAAGCUGAAUGGCUAGUUGGCUAGUUUUGAGUCAUCCCAAAAAAAAGCAUUUCUGUCAGUAUCCACUCAAACACACAGCAACAGGGAGCCAAAACUGUGCAGUGGUUUGGCCUUGACUUUCCCAUUGUCAUCACCAUGCUUCAGAUAUAAAGCUGACGUAAUGUCAAUGUAAUGUCAGUCCACUGUACGUAAAGAACUGAAUGUGCAUUAACAAAAAAGCGACCUUGAAGUUCUCUUUCUCUGAAUUCAUUCUUCUUUCUUUAUUUGGUAAUCAGGGUAUAUCUUAAUACUACUAUAUAGAUCUGGAAGCACUUAUUGUAGACUGAAUGGUCUCUGUACAUUUUUCAUUUUAUAUAGUGUCAUGCUUCAAGUUAACUAGUAACUCUGUAAUGUGUGUGUAAAAAUAAAUCUAAUUAAAAAUAAUAAAAAAAAACUACUGUUUACCUCAGCAUAAUGUGAAAGACGUGGAAAUCACUCAAUUCUACUUCACCAGGAGCAUACUUUUAAAAUUUAGCCUGGGGGAAAUCAGGCAGGUUAGAGUCUCUUCUUGGUGAAUCUUACAUUCUGCACUUUUUUUUCUCUGACAGUUCUUCAUUUGAAAUUGCUAUCCUGUGUGAAAUGGUUUAAGUUUUACUCAGCAUCUGUUAAACCAGGAGAAUUGAAAUAGUUGUCAGGGAAUUCUAAUAAAAUAAAUUAAUUGGGAAUAAGAAAGUCAAAGGUAGAAGACUACUAAAAAAAGAUCCUUGUUUAAGGUAGCUUUCAAGCACCAAAUACCACAACCAAGCAAGUAUGACAGCCUGAUGGCCUCUUUCUCAUUUGUAACAGUUUCUUGUUCUUAAUUUUCUUAGAUGGUCAGAAUAUCUGUUGCUUAGAGUAUGUCAUUAAAUACUUUUAGAAUAUGUAUGUAUAUCCACAUACAGCUUGUGUGUAGCAGGCACGCUUUAGAACAUCAAUAUAUUUAGUUAAUUUUAAGGCCAGAGUAAUAGCUAUGCUAAUAUUGAAAUUAAAAAAAAAAAUUACUAAAAAUGAACAAAAAGUAAAUUACUUUCUGGAGCACAGAAUCCUCCCUCUGGUAUUGAUUUUUACUCUUUCUUAUUACUAAGUCUUACAUGUAUUAAUUUUUUCAAUCUCAGUAGGAGUUAUUACCUUUUUUAUCAGUAAUAUCAGAAUACAAAUAGCAUUCUUGUCCCAAAUUGGAACAUAUUCAGGAAUUGCAGUUUUAGAAACACCAGGGAAUGCUCUGUUCUGUAUAAUUUAAAUUGACCAGGAAUGCGACAUAUUACAAUUCAAUAAUUAGUUUAAAUAGUUUAGAAUUUAAUGACCUCGGUAUUUUUCUUUCUAUGUAUAACUUAUAUACUGUACCAUAAUUGUGACCUAUUCAUUUUAUCGGUCAAAUGCCAGAUAAAUACUUGAUCUAAAUUCUUCAAUAAACAUUUCUCUUUGACUAUCCCUAGCCAGUUUUCUGCUUCAAACAUACUAAUUUCAUCUUCCAUUUUAUGGAUAUUUAUUUCUGGGAAUGUGUUCUGUGAUAGUUUUGUUUUUCUUAUUUGAAGGUAAAGUACAUUUAUCACAAAAUGGACAUACACCUGAAUGAGCAUUCAUACAGUAUAUUUGAAUACAAAUUAUAGUACAAAAAUGUAAGUAUUGCUAUGGUUCUAGAAACAUUAUUGUUUAAACAAGGAAUGGUUGAUUCAGUAUAUUUUGUUGCUGAUAUACUGUAUAGUCACAAACAUAAUUAUUUUAAUGGAUUAAAGAUUUACCUCUAGCUUUCCUGUGUUAUUUGUAUUUUAUUUCUCUUUGUCCCUUCAUUUACACACUUGAACAUUACUCAAUAAAAUAGUAACUGAGAAAAGGAAAAUCAAACUAUUGCUUAGUUUUGUAUUAAUUUUACUUAAAAUAAUUUAAUGAAUCAGCAUAGAUAGAUACUUUAUUGAUCCCAGGACGGAAAUUGCAGUGCAACAGCAGCUCAACACAGACAACACCGCCACAGUGCAACGAAUGAUACAAUACUAAUAAUACAAUACAUACAAUACAAUACAAUCAGUACAGUGAGAAGUGCACUAAGAACAGUUACUUACAGUCCAGAACACACAAAGAACAAACCAGAACAGAACAGUAAACAAAAAUGUCAUAUUGCACAAUAUGACAAUAAAUAUAAAUGUAUUGCACAGGUCAUAUUAGUUUUUAUUAGUUUUAGUCAUCUUGUCUGGUAAAUAUUCCAUUUUCUUUUCAAAGAAGGAUGUCAUUCAUUAUCAUGGCUCUUAUGUAAAACUUU
ensembl:lincRNA